AGAUCUUGUAAUCUAAAAUAUUAUACCUAAUUUGAUCCAAUCAAACUAAAAAAAGUUGCAAUUUUUUUGUACUAACUAAAUCGUAUACACAACAGAUCAACAUAGUAUAUUAGCUUCAUAUUCCAAAUAAAUGUAACAAAAAAAAGAACAAGGACACAAUUAGAUAAGGAAACAGACCUCUAAGCGGCGAAUCCGAUGAUCUUGGAAUCGAAAAGCUUCAAGGAUGCCACCGGAAUUGGAGGAGAGCUCCUCGAUCUGGAUCUGUAGGUUGUGAUAGAGGACACGGGAUCUCGUCUUCGCGGUUCUCGAUCUGGAUCUGUAGGUUGCGUUCCUCGGCGGGGAAA
rnacentral:lncRNA from 1 species